rnacentral:sRNA from 1 species
AAGUCUGGGAACAUGCCUGGCUUGAACUCCUGGCCUGGUUCUGGUAACCCAGAGUGGAUGAGAUACACUCAGGCCUUGCUGUGGGUCACUCUUGUCCCCCGGGCAUCCCUGGGAGGGGCCGCCCUCCCGGGACGAUUUCUCGGAGGUCCUAACCCAGGUUCAUGAGGGCUUCGAGCUGGGCACGCUGGCCGGCCCCGCCUUUGCCUGGCUGCGCCGCUCCCUGGGCCUGGCGGAGGAGGACUAUCAGGCUGCGCUGGGCCCCGGCGGCCCCUACCUGCAGUUCCUCAGCACCUCCAAGAGCAAGGCCAGCUUCUUCCUGUCCCACGACCAGCGCUUCUUCCUGAAGACCCAGGGGCGCCGAGAAGUGCAGGUUCUGCUCGCCCACCUGCCCCGCUAUGUGCAGCACCUGCAGCGGCACCCGCACUCGCUGCUGGCGCGGUUGCUGGGAGUGCACAGUCUGCGGGUGAACCGGGGAAAGAAGACGUACUUCAUCGUCAUGCAGAGCGUCUUCUACCCCGCCGGUCGCAUCUCCGAGAGGUAUGACAUCAAAGGCUGCGAGGUGAGCCGCUGGGUGGAUCCCGCCCCUGAGGGCAGCCCCCUUGUUCUGGUGCUGAAGGACCUCAACUUUCAGGGCAAGACCAUCAACCUGGAUGGAACUGGAUACCACCUUCCUCCGGGAGCUCAACGUGCUGGAUUACAGCCUCCUGAUGGCCUUCCAAUAUCUCCACGAGGAUGAGAGGGGCCCGG